rnacentral:sRNA from 1 species
ACAUUGUUACAUCUACCAUCAUGAUACGGUAAUAUAGGAACUUGGCACAUAAUUGCCUUAUACUGUAGUACUAUCUAUACAUCCUAUACAUGUGUCAAUCGGCGAUUGAAAAUUACGUAACUCGCCUAUCCAUCCGUCCCAACGUCAGAUGACCUACUUACGAAGAUACACGCGCACGUCAUUUUGUCCAGGUGUCGGAUGCUGGCGUCCUUCACGCGGUCGAGUGAUAUCAACUAUCUCGGCUUCCUUAAAUCUUCUUAACGAAAGUCCGGAAACAUCUCAUAGGCUAUCUUGAUAGAAUCUUAAAAUACCAAAAAAGUCGUUUUUCGUUUGUUUUACAUGUAUUUGUUCUUUGUUGAUCACC